rnacentral:rRNA from 1 species
CAGGCCUAACACAUGCAAGUCGAGCGGACCUUACGGGGUCAGCGGCGGACGGGUGAGUAACACGUGGGCAAUCUGCCCGAUACUCUGGGAUAACGCUUGGAAACGAGUGCUAAUACCGGAUGGUCUUCUUGGCCGCAUGGCCGAGAAGGAAAAGACGCGUUCGCGUCGGUGUCGGAUGAGCCCGCGGCGCAUUAGCUAGUUGGUGAGGUAACGGCCCACCAAGGCGACGAUGCGUAGCCGACCUGAGAGGGUGACCGGCCACACUGGGACUGAGACACGGCCCAGACUCCUACGGGAGGCAGCAGUAGGGAAUCUUCCACAAUGGGCGAAAGCCUGAUGGAGAACGCCGCGUGAGUGAUGAAGGCCUUCGGGUUGUGAAACUCUGUCAUUCGGGACGAACCGGAGUCUGAGGAAAUGCAGACUCUCUGACGGUACCGGAGGAGGAAGCCCCGGCUAACUACGUGCCAGCAGCCGCGGUAAUACGUAAGGGGCAAGCGUUGUCCGAAUUCACUGGGCGUAAAGCGCGCGCAGGCGGUGAUGUAAGUCUGAGGUGAAAACCCGAAGCUCAACUUCGGGACUGCCUUGGAUACUGCGUCACUUGAGGAUAGGAGAGGCAAGGGGAGUUCCACGUGUAGCGGUGAAAUGCGUAGAGAUGUGGAGGAACACCUGUGGCGAAGGCGCCUUGCUGGCCUAUUUCUGACGCUGAGGCGCGAAAGCGUGGGGAGCAAACAGGAUUAGAUACCCCUGGUAGUCCCACGCUGUAAACGAUGAGUGCUAGGUGUAGGUGGGCUCAUACCCAUCUGUGCCGAAGCUACGCAUUAGCACUCCGCCUGGGGAGUACGGUCGCAAGACUGAAACUCAAAGGAAUUGACGGGGCCCGCACAAGCAGUGGAGCAUGUGGUUUAAUUCGAAGCAACGCGAAGAACCUUACCAGGACUUGACAUCCCAUAGACCAGUCUAGAGAUAGACUUUCCCUUCGGGGCUGUGGUGACAGGUGGUGCAUGGUUGUCGUCAGCUCGUGUCGUGAGAUGUUGGGUUAAGUCCCGCAACGAGCGCAACCCUUACUUUGUGUUGCCAGCAUUCAGUUGGGCACUCACAAGGGACUGCCGCCGAUAAGGCGGAGGAAGGUGGGGAUGACGUCAAAUCAUCAUGCCCCUUAUGUCCUGGGCUACACACGUGCUACAAUGGGCGGUACAACGGGAUGCGAAGCCGCGAGGUGGAGCCAAACCCUGAAAACCGUUCGUAGUUCGGAUUGUAGGCUGCAACUCGCCUACAUGAAGCCGGAAUUGCUAGUAAUCGCGGAUCAGCAUGCCGCGGUGAAUCCGUUCCCGGGCCUUGUACACACCGCCC